GACGAACGCUGGCGGCGUGCUUAACACAUGCAAGUCGAACGGAAAGGCCUGCUUUCCCUUGUGGAUUGCGGGUGCUCGAGUGGCGAACGGGUGAGUAACACGUGAGUGAUCUGCCCCCAACUUGGGUAUAAGCCUGGGAAACUGGGUCUAAUUCCCGAUAGGACUGCAGGGUGGUGCCUGCGGUGGAAAACGAUUUUCUAGUGGUUGGGGAUGAGCUCGCGGCCUAUCAGCUUGUUGGUGGGGUAAUGGCCUACCAAGGCGGCGACGGGUAGCCGGCCUGAGAGGGUGGACGGCCACAUUGGGACUGAGAUACGGCCCAGACUCCUACGGGAGGCAGCAGUGGGGAAUAUUGCGCAAUGGGCGGAAGCCUGAUGCAGCGACGCCGCGUGGGGGAUGACGGCCUUCGGGUUGUAAACUCCUUUCGACCGCGAGGAAGCCACCUGGUUGGAAGGGUGGUGACGGUAGUGGUAGAAGAAGCACCGGCUAACUACGUG
rnacentral:rRNA from 1 species